GACGAACGCUGGCGGCGUGCUUAACACAUGCAAGUCGAACGGAAAGGCCCUGCUUUUGUGGGGUGCCCGAGUGGCGAACGGGUGAGUAACACGUGAGUAACCUGCCCUUGACUUUGGGAUAACUUCAGGAAACUGGGGCUAAUACCGGAUAGGAGCUCCUGCUGCAUGGUGGGGGUUGGAAAGUUUCGGCGGUUGGGGAUGGACUCGCGGCUUAUCAGCUUGUUGGUGGGGUAGUGGCUUACCAAGGCUUUGACGGGUAGCCGGCCUGAGAGGGUGACCGGCCACAUUGGGACUGAGGUACGGCCCAGACUCCUACGGGAGGCAGCAGGGGGGAAUAUUGCACAAUGGGCGGAAGCCUGAUGCAGCAACGCCGCGUGCGGGAUGACGGCCUUCGGGUUGUAAACCGCUUUCGCCUGUGACGAAGCGUGAGUGACGGUAAUGGGUAAAGAAGCACCGGCUAACUACGUG
rnacentral:rRNA from 1 species